ensembl:lncRNA
CUCGAACUAUUUUUGUCCACAGAUACGGAUUCCAGUCCUCGAUAACACUCCUCUUCAGCCCUUCCUCGACACACUCCACUUCAGCCCUUAAUUUCCAGCCGACUCCACUCCAGGUAAGUUUAAAGCAAGAGCUAGGCAGUUGACGUGCAGGGACUUUCUGGCUCUGGGGGGGGGGGGUGGACUUCAAGACCCAAGGCUGAGCUGUUAGCGUGCAGGGGUUCUAGCUCUCAGGUAAGUACAGCGUUCAAUACACAGGUGGGUAUUCACAGGGCUGGGCUGUUAGCGUGCAGGGGUUCUAGCUCCCAGGUAAGUACAGCGUUCAAUACACAAGUGGGUAUUCGCAGGGCUGGGCUGUUAGCGUGCAGGGGUUCUAGCUCUCAGGUGAGAACAGAAUUCAAUACACAGGUGAGUAUUCGCAGGGCUGGGCUGUUAGCGUGCAGGGGUUCUAGCUCACAGGUAAGUACAGAAUUCAAUACACAGGUGAGCAUUCACAGGGCUGGGCUGUUAACUGGCUACUCACCACUGAAGAUAUUCAGAGGUCGGUAUUCCAAGCAGAUACGGGUUUGGUCGAUGACUGACGGCUGGUGGGCCUUACAGGUGAGACUGCAAACAAUACUGGGCUUCCCGCCCAGCUUGGCAAGGGGGCACACGGGGGAGGAUCGGCUGUUGUCCUUCGCUUCCCUCGUCAAAGAGACAGCACAGACGACACGCACAAGGCCGGUGGUUGCUGACAAGGCCAAUGACACAACGUCACGUGGAUGAAAAGGUAAGGCUUUGAUUUAAAAGCUUACAGAGAUCGCUGUGUGGGCGACGUCAUCCAACCUCCUCCAGAGGCGCCUCCAACACGUCCAAGCUCCA